UGUGCAAUAGCUCCAUGGUAGGGCUCCCGCUUUGUAUGAGGGAAGACCUGGGUUCGAUUCCCGGUUGCUUAC
rnacentral:tRNA from 1 species